UUUGUGAUUAGUAAAUUACAUGUGCGAAUGGUAAUCACUGCAUGUCUAACCCCACGUCAUUAAGUCCAAGAAAUGUAUGUCUGUGUAUGAUUGACACAUAAAGAACUCUCAUAGAAACCUCGUGCGUAUCGUGCCAUCAUCAAUGCGUGAACGACAAUAUGCUGUGCUGCUUUCUUUUCAUACGAUCGUGCAAACCAUAAUCAUAAAUUCGGCAAACGUGUUGUCAAAUGGAAUUUUGAGACUGGUAUGAAAUUUAGAAAUUUGGAACAUUCAUGGAACGAACAAGUGAUUAAAACCGACGGUUCAAUUUUAUAUACAAAGAAGCUUAGUGCAAAUAUUUUGUAUGCAUAAUCACGUUUGUUUACGGGAAACGUCCGAAUUUUUCUGUCGCGAAAACUUUAAAGUUUACUAUUGAAAUUUAUCCAUGAAAUUUUUCAACUCAGAAAAAUGAAACAUGCAAACUGAUAACAUUUAAAAAUCUCGUAAUGAGAAUAUGAAAAAUUUAGCCUCAAUGAAUUUGUUACAAUGAAUUCAAGUUUGAAAACAUAAAAUUUACUAUAGAGAAGUCAACGCUAAUUUGAUGAUAAAUGGAUUCUAUAGUUACAGAGAUAUAAGAACACUAUCUUUCUGCUGUGCCGUUGAAUAAUGAUCAUACGUCGAUAAGUAUGAUAACAUGAGACUUGUCCACAAUAAUGUCUAAAUAAAGUAAAGCACUUAUGCGUCGUUAUAUCUAUUCACGGUCAAAUCGAGUAACUCGAAUUCUAUGUCUAGUUACUGCAUGAGUAUUGUCGGAAAUACAACCAUGCAUUUUUUAACAAAGAACACAGCAUGUCAUCCACAGUGCGAGCCAUAAGUGAUCACUGACGAAUGUUUACAGAAAUAUGAACUUCCUUAUUCGAAAUAAUUUCUUCUCUAGGUAAUCUAUUCAGACCAUUUAAGCGACGAUUCACAUGUUCGAUAAUCUUUAGCGUCUGGAGAUACUUUCCUUUUACUAAAGAUUUAGGCAAGGACCCAAAAGCUACUUUCAGGCCUUUUACGCGUUUGUGGAAACUUUGUCAUGGGAAGUUUUCAUUUACGAGAACGAAGCAACAUGUGAUACGAUAUGUGUUAACGAUUAUGUAUUUGGCAUAUUUGAUAAGAAACUGCUUCAGCCUCUUAUGGUUAUUUUAUGAUUCGUUUACUGAACGGUUAAGUUGCUGCAGGUUGCAUCGACAUUUGGUUUAUUGAAACACCGUCAACGAUGCAUGGUUUUUUUGGUUUUCUUCACACGUGUAUGGCGAUCAGUUGGUUAUUGACAUUGUUUGGAAACGCGGAAGACAACAACAA